rnacentral:tRNA from 1 species
AGGUACAUAAUUAAACUCAUAAUAUUUAAUUUGCAAUUAAAACUCGCCAAUAGGCUGUGCCU